rnacentral:rRNA from 1 species
UACGAAGGGGGGCUAGCGUUGUUCGGAAUCACUGGGCGUAAAGGGCGCGUAGGCGGCUUUAUAAGUCGGGGGUGAAAGCCUGUGGCUCAACCACAGAAUUGCCUUCGAUACUGUAGAGCUUGAGACCGGAAGAGGUAAGUGGAACUGCGAGUGUAGAGGUGAAAUUCGUAGAUAUUAGGAAGAACACCAGUGGCGAAGGCGGCUCACUGGUCCGGUACUGACGCUGAGGUGCGAAAGCGUGGGGAGCAAACAGG